rnacentral:rRNA from 1 species
UCUACGGGAGGCAGCAGUGGGGAAUAUUGGACAAUGGGCGAAAGCCUGAUCCAGCCAUGCCGCGUGUGUGAAGAAGGCCUUCGGGUUGUAAAGCACUUUCAGUGGGGAAGAAAGCCUUGGGGCUAAUACCCUCGAGGAAGGACAUCACCCACAGAAGAAGCACCGGCUAACUCCGUGCCAGCAGCCGCGGUAAUACGGAGGGUGCGAGCGUUAAUCGGAAUUACUGGGCGUAAAGCGCGCGUAGGCGGUCUGAUAAGCCGGUUGUGAAAGCCCCGGGCUCAACCUGGGAACGGCAUCCGGAACUGUCAGGCUAGAGUGCAGGAGAGGAAGGUAGAAUUCCCGGUGUAGCGGUGAAAUGCGUAGAGAUCGGGAGGAAUACCAGUGGCGAAGGCGGCCUUCUGGACUGACACUGACGCUGAGGUGCGAAAGCGUGGGUAGCAAACAGGAUUAGAUACCCCUGAGUC